rnacentral:rRNA from 1 species
UACGUAGGGUGCGAGCGUUGUCCGGAAUUACUGGGCGUAAAGAGCUCGUAGGUGGUUUGUCGCGUUGUUCGUGAAAUUCCCUGGCUUAACUGGGGGGCGUGCGGGCGAUACGGGCAGACUGGAGUACUGCAGGGGAGACUGGAAUUCCUGGUGUAGCGGUGGAAUGCGCAGAUAUCAGGAGGAACACCGGUGGCGAAGGCGGGUCUCUGGGCAGUAACUGACGCUGAGGAGCGAAAGCGUGGGGAGCGAACAGG